rnacentral:rRNA from 1 species
GGACUACUAGGGUUUCUAAUCCUGUUUGCUCCCCACGCUUUCGCGCCUCAGCGUCAGAUACGGUCCAGAUGGCCGCCUUCGCCACCGGUGUUCUUCCCAAUAUCUACGAAUUUCACCUCUACACUGGGAAUUCCACCAUCCUCUCCCGUCCUCAAGCCGCUCAGUCUCGAGUGCACAUCCGGGGUUGAGCCCCGGGCUUUCACACCCGACUUGAACAGCCGCCUACGCGCCCUUUACGCCCAGUAACUCCGAACAACGCUAGCCCCCUUCGUAUUACCGCGGCGGCUGGCAC